UUUGAUCUGGGGGGCAAAGGUGUAAAUGUACGGUCACCCCUUUAAAUAAAGAGGAAUAUCUCCCACUAGGGUUUUACAUCUAAUUACGAGCUCUAUUGUGCAGCGACAUCUCUUUCAGCAGUCACUUCAUUCAGUCUCGGGUAUCUAUUGAUUCUCGUCUUUCAAAUAUAUUUAUGAUUUUAUUUGCCCUUAAGCAAUUACGUUUGUUGAAUUGAAUGUAGA
rnacentral:lncRNA from 1 species